UACAGAGGUCCCGAGCGUUGUUCGGAUUCAUUGGGCGUAAAGGGUGCGUAGGCGGCGCGGUAAGUCGGGUGUGAAAUCUUGGAGCUUAACUCCGAAACUGCAUUCGAUACUGCCGUGCUUGAGGACUAGAGAGGAGACUGGAAUUUACGGUGUAGCGGUGAAAUGCGUAGAUAUCGUAAGGAAGACCAGUGGCGAAGGCGGGUCUCUGGACAGUUCCUGACGCUGAGGCACGAAGGCCAGGGGAGCAAACGGG
rnacentral:rRNA from 1 species